GCCAAGGUAAUCUGAGGAUGAAGAUCGGUCGGAGAAGGAAGGUUCGGGGCCGUAUAUUCGAAGGGCCCCAUCGGAGCAGCUGACAAGGAGCUUUGAGCCAUAGGAUUCGAUGGCAUCAAUUUUCGUGGGGCACCCACUGAGAAGCUGGAAGGAAUCGUAAGCACUGUGCACCAUAAUUGUAGUUUCGAUAUCGAGCUUGGAAGAAAAAUUAACUAUGAAAGAGGCUCAAAAAUGCUGAAUCUGAUCCUCAUUUUCCUUGUAGCGCUUGUAAAUUUCUCUGGGCAGUUCCAAUUUCCAGAGAACGAUCACAGUGUUAUUGUGAGUGGAAAAUCAUUAAAAUC
rnacentral:misc_RNA from 1 species